ACUCCGUACGGGAGGCAGCAGGUAGGGAAUCUUCCACAAUGGGCGCAAGCCUGAUGGAGCAACACCGCGUGAGUGAAGAAGGGUUUCGGCUCGUAAAGCUCUGUUGUUAAAGAAGAACACGUAUGAGAGUAACUGUUCAUACGUUGACGGUAUUUAACCAGAAAGUCACGGCUAAACUACGUGCCAGCAGCCGCGGUAAUACGUAGGUGGCAAGCGUUAUCCGGAUUUAUUGGGCGUAAAGAGAGUGCAGGCGGUUUUCUAAGUCUGAUGUGAAAGCCUUCGGCUUAACCGGAGAAGUGCAUCGGAAACUGGAUAACUUGAGUGCAGAAGAGGGUAGUGGAACUCCAUGUGUAGCGGUGAAAUGCGUAGAGAUCUGAAGGAAUACCAGUGGCGAAGGCGGCCCCCGUGGACAAACGACUGACGCUCAGAUGCGAAAGGCGUGGGGAGCGAAACAGGAUUAGAUACCCGU
rnacentral:rRNA from 1 species